UACGUAGGGUGCGAGCGUUGUCCGGAAUUAUUGGGCGUAAAGAGCUCGUAGGCGGUCUGUCGCGUCGGUCGUGAAAACUUGGGGCUUAACCCUGAGCUUGCGGUCGAUACGGGCAUGACUGGAGUUCGGCAGGGGAGACUGGAAUUCCUGGUGUAGCGGUGAAAUGCGCAGAUAUCAGGAGGAACACCGGUGGCGAAGGCGGAUCUCUGGGCCAUUACUGACGCUGAGGAGCGAAAGCGUGGGGAGCGAACAGG
rnacentral:rRNA from 1 species